rnacentral:rRNA from 1 species
GUGCCAGCCGCCGCGGUAAUACGUAGGUGGCAAGCGUUAUCCGGAUUUACUGGGCGUAAAGAGUGCGUAGGCGGUUCUUCAAGUCGGAUGUGAAAUCUCCCGGCUUAACCGGGAGGGGUCAUUCGAAACUGUUGGACUAGAGGACAGCAGGGGGAGGUGGAAUUCCCGGUGUAGUGGUGAAAUGCGUAGAUAUCGGGAGGAACACCAGUGGCGAAGGCGGCCUCCUGGGCUGUUUCUGACGCUGAGGCUCGAAAGUGUGGGGAGCGAACAGGAUUAGAUACCCUGGUAGUCCACACUGUAAACAAUGGACACUAGGUAUGGGGAGUAUCGACCCUUUCUGUGCCGAAGCUAACGCUUUAAGUGUCCCGCCUGGGGACUACGGCCGCAAGGCUAAAACUUAAAGGAAUUGACGGGG